AACGCAUAUUGCAUUCUCCUUCUAGGGAGAGUAUGCCUGUUUCAGGGUCUAUUGAAAAAAAUCCGGAAAUUUAUUUUUAUUUUCUGGGAAAUGAACUUUUCGUGUCGUCUUGAUGCGAUCGUUUGAAAUUAAAGGCGUUUACAACUGUGAUAGGACGCGUAAUAGUAGUAAAAUGUGCUAACUAAUAUCGUAACUUGUCCAGCUGAUAUUAAAUGUCGCGUUUGGUUAUAUGGGAGUUUACUCUUUCCAUUGAUCAAACAAUUAGCCUACAUAGACCUGAAAUCAGGCAAGAUUACCCGCUGAACUUAA
rnacentral:misc_RNA from 1 species